UACGGGGGGAGCAAGCGUUGUUCGGAUUUACUGGGCGUAAAGGGCGCGUAGGCGGUCAGCACAAGUCAGUUGUGAAAUCUCCGGGCUUAACUCGGAAAGGUCAACUGAUACUGUGCGACUAGAGUGCAGAAGGGGCAACUGGAAUUCUCGGUGUAGCGGUGAAAUGCGUAGAUAUCGAGAGGAACACCCGUGGCGAAGGCGGCUCUCUGGGACGGUACUGACGCUGAGACGCGAAAGCGUGGGGAGCAAACAGG
rnacentral:rRNA from 1 species